AGUGAACGCUGGCGGUAGGCCUAACACAUGCAAGUCGAACGGCAGCACAGUAAGAGCUUGCUCUUACGGGUGGCGAGUGGCGGACGGGUGAGGAAUACAUCGGAAUCUACUUUUUCGUGGGGGAUAACGUAGGGAAACUUACGCUAAUACCGCAUACGACCUACGGGUGAAAGCAGGGGAUCUUCGGACCUUGCGCGAUUGAAUGAGCCGAUGUCGGAUUAGCUAGUUGGCGGGGUAAAGGCCCACCAAGGCGACGAUCCGUAGCUGGUCUGAGAGGAUGAUCAGCCACACUGGAACUGAGACACGGUCCAGACUCCUACGGGAGGCAGCAGUGGGGAAUAUUGGACAAUGGGCGCAAGCCUGAUCCAGCCAUACCGCGUGGGUGAAGAGGGCCUUCGGGUUGUAAAGCCCUUUUGUUGGGAAAGAAAAGCAGCAGGUUAAUACCCCGCUGUUCUGACGGUACCCAAAGAAUAAGCACUGGCUAACUUCGUG
rnacentral:rRNA from 1 species